rnacentral:rRNA from 1 species
GUACGCAGGCGGUUUGUUAAGCGAGAUGUGAAAGCCCCGGGCUCAACCUGGGAACUGCAUUUCGAACUGGCAAACUAGAGUGUGAUAGAGGGUGGUAGAAUUUCAGGUGUAGCGGUGAAAUGCGUAGAGAUCUGAAGGAAUACCGAUGGCGAAGGCAGCCACCUGGGUCAACACUGACGCUCAUGUACGAAAGCGUGGGGAGCAAACGGGAUUAGAUACCCCGGUAGUCCACGCCGUAAACGAUGUCUACUAGAAGCUCGGAGCCUCGGUUCUGUUUUUCAAAGCUAACGCAUUAAGUAGACCGCCUGGGGAGUACGGCCGCAAGGUUAAAACUCAAAUGAAUUGACGGGGGCCCGCACAAGCGGUGGAGCAUGUGGUUUAAUUCGAUGCAACGCGAAGAACCUUACCUACACUUGACAUACAGAGAACUUACCAGAGAUGGUUUGGUGCCUUCGGGAACUCUGAUACAGGUGCUGCAUGGCUGUCGUCAGCUCGUGUUGUGAGAUGUUGGGUUAAGUCCCGCAACGAGCGCAACCCCUAUCCUUAGUUGCUAGCAGGUAAUGCUGAGAACUCUAAGGAGACUGCCGGUGAUAAACCGGAGGAAGGUGGGGACGACGUCAAGUCAUCAUGGCCCUUACGUGUAGGGCUACACACGUGCUACAAUGGCGCAUACAGAGUGCUGCGAACCUGCGAAGGUAAGCGAAUCACUUAAAGUGCGUCGUAGUCCGGAUUGGAGUCUGCAACUCGACUCCNUGAAGUCGGAAUCGCUAGUAAUCGCGUAUCAGAAUGACGCGGUGAAUACGUUCCCGGGCCUUGUACACACCGCCCGUCACACCAUGGGAGUGGGUUGCUCCAGAAGUAGAUAGUCUAACCCUCGGG